ACUGGCGGCCAAGGCGAGGGGGCAACACCCGUACCCAUCCCGAACACGGAAGUAAAGUCCCUCAGCGAUCUGACCGGUACUGCCUUACGGCGGGACAUUCAGGACGCUGCCAGAC
rnacentral:rRNA from 1 species